rnacentral:rRNA from 1 species
AUCAACGCUGGCGGCGUGCCUAACACAUGCAAGUCGAACGAGAAAGCGUAGCAAUACGUGAGUAAAGUGGCGACCGGGUGAGUAACACGUGGACAACCUACCUUUGAGUGGGGAAUAACCCUGGGAAACCGGGGAUAAUACCGCAUAACAUCCUCUGACGAUGGUCUAGGGAUUGAAACGCGAAAGCGGCUCAUUGAGGGGUCCGCGGCUGAUUAGCUAGUUGGUGAGGUAACGGCCCACCAAGGCUUUGAUCGGUAGCCGGCCUGAGAGGGCGGACGGCCACACUGGAACUGAAACACGGUCCAGACUCCUACGGGAGGCAGCAGUGGGGAAUUUUGCGCAAUGGGGGGAAACCCUGGCGCAGCAACGCCGCGUGGAUGAUGAAGACCCUUGGGUUGUAAAAUCCUUUCGGCAGGGGACGAAUCAAUUGACGGUACCUGAAGAAGAAGCCCCGGCUAACUCCGUGCCAGCAGCCGCGGUAAUACGGGGGGGGCGAGCGUUGUUCGGAAUUAUUGGGCGUUAAAGGGGCGCGUAGGCGGUGUGGUAAGUCUGUUGUGAAACCUCCAGGCUCAACUUGGAGCUUGCAUCAGAAAACUGCCGUGCUAGAGUGUGGGAGAGGAGAGUGGAAUUCCUGGUGUAGCGGUGAAAUGCGUAGAUAUCAGGAGGAACACCGGUGGCGAAAGCGGCUCUCUGGACCACAACUGACGCUGAGGCGCGAAAGCUAGGGGAGCAAACAGGAUUAGAUACCCUGGUAGUCCUAGCCUUAAACGAUGAACACUUGGUAUAUAGCGGGUAUCGAAUCCCGCUGUGGCCGGAGCUAACGCAUAUUAAGUGUUCCGCCUGGGGAGUACGGUCGCAAGGCUGAAAACUCAAAGGAAUUGACGGGGGCCCGCACAAGCGGUGGAGCAUGUGGUUUAAUUCGACGCAACGCGAAGAACCUUACCUGGGCUCGAAAUGUAGUGGAAGUCGGCUGAAAAGUCGGUGCCCGCAAGGGGCCGCUAUAUAGGUGCUGCAUGGCUGUCGUCAGCUCGUGUCGUGAGAUGUUGGGUUUAAGUCCCGCAACGAGCGCAAACCCUUAUCUUUAGUUGCUAAGUCGCAAGACAGCACUCUAAAGAGACUGUCGGCCACAAGCCGGAGGAAGGGCGGGGGAUGACGUCAAGUCCUCAUGGCCUUUAUGUCCAGGGCUACACACGUGCUACAAUGGGCGGUACAAAGCGUCGCAAAACCCGCGAGGGGGAGCCAAUCGCAAAAAAACCGCUCCCAGUUCGGAUUGCAGUCUGCAACUCGGCUGCAUGAAGCUGGAAUCGCUAGUAAUCGCGGAUCAGCACGCCGCGGUGAAUACGUUUCCCGGGCCUUGUACACACCGCCCGUCACAUCACGAAAGCAGGUUGCACUAAGAAGCCGGUUCGCUGACCGCAAGGAGGCAGCCGUCCAAGGUGUGGCUUGUGAUUGGGGUG